UCCACGCNGUAAACGAUGAGUGCUAGGUGUUAGGCCCUUUCCGGGGCUUAGUGCCGGAGCUAACGCAAUAAGCANUCCGCCUGGGGAGUACGACCGCAAGGUUGAAACUCAAAGGAAUUAACGGGGGCCCGCACAAGCGGUGGAGCAUGUGGUUUAAUUCGAAGCAACGCGAAGAACCUUACCAGGUCUUGACAUCCCGAUGCUAUUCUUAGAGAUAGGAAGUUACUUCGGUACAUCGGAGACAGGUGGUGCAUGGUUGUCGUCAGCUCGUGUCGUGAGAUGUUGGGUUAAGUCCCGCAACGAGCGCAACCCUUAUUGUUAGUUGCCAUCAUUAAGUUGGGCACUCUAGCGAGACUGCCGGUAAUAAACCGGAGGAAGGUGGGGAUGACGUCAAAUCAUCAUGCCCCUUAUGACCUGGGCUACACACGUGCUACAAUGGUCGGUACAACGAGUUGCGAGCCGGUGACGGCAAGCUAAUCUCUGAAAGCCGAUCUCAGUUCGGAUUGGAGGCUGCAACUCGCCUCCANGAAGUCGGAAUCGCUAGUAAUCGCGGAUCAGCACGCCGCGGNGAAUACGUUCCCGGGCCUUGUNC
rnacentral:rRNA from 1 species